AUGAUCUCUGCUCAGUUGGCCUAGAAAACCCCCAAAAUCAUACAAAGCAAGAGAUUCAAAUCUUCAUGUUUACUUUAAGAACACCCGUGGAAGUGCCCAGGCCAUCAAAGGUAUGCAUAUCCAAAUAGCCACCAAGUACUUGAAAGAUGUCACUUUAUAGAAGCAAUGUGUGUCAUUCCAUAUUAUUAUAGUGGAGUUGGUAUGUGUACCUAAGCCAAACAGACGGGCUGGGCACAGGAUGACAGGUGGCCCAAAAAGAGUGCUAAAUUUGUGCUGUACAUGCUUAAAAAGGCAAAGAGUAAUGCCGACCCUAAGGGUUUAGAUGCAGAUUCUCUGGUCAUUGAGCAUGUCCAGGUGAACAAAGCCCCAGGAUAUGUUGCUGUAUUUAUAGAGCUCAGGUCACAUUAACCCAUACAUAAACUCCCCUGCCACAUAUUGAAAUGAUCCUUACUGAAAAAGAGUAAAUUGUUCCUAAACCAGAAGAGAGGGUUGCAGGGAAGAAAAAGAUAUCCCAGAAGAAAUUGAAGAAAACAAAAAUUUAUAACCUGGGAAUAA
rnacentral:lncRNA from 1 species